GCGCUCGUAGCUCAGCUGGAUAGAGUACUGCCCUCCGAAGGCAGGGGUCGUGGGUUCGAACCCCGCCGAGCGCACCA
rnacentral:tRNA from 1 species